rnacentral:lncRNA from 1 species
GCGGCCAUCUUGGUUGGUUGGGCGGGUCACCGGACACAAUUUUUAAACUAGAUACCCUAAUGAUGAUUGUGGCCAAGUUUGGUUUAAUUUGGUCCAGUAGUUUCAGAGGAGAAGAUUUUUGUAAAAGUUAACGACGGACGACGACGACGGACGACGACGACGGACGACGACGACGGACGCCGGACGCCAAGUGAUGAGAAAAGCUCACUUGGCCCUUCGGGCCAGGUGAGCUAAAAAAUAU